rnacentral:rRNA from 1 species
CACGUAGGGGGCAAGCGUUGUCCGGAUUUAUUGGGCGUAAAGAGCUCGUAGGCGGUUCGGUAAGUCGGGUGUGAAACCUCCAGGCUCAACCUGGAGAUGCCACCUGAUACUGCUGUGACUCGAGUCCGGUAGGGGAGCGUGGGAAUUCCUGGUGUAGCGGUGAAAUGCGCAGAUAUCAGGAGGAACACCAGCGGCGGAAGGCGGCGCUCUGGGCCGGAACUGACGCUGGAGGAAGCGAAAGCCGUGGGUAGCAAACAGG